rnacentral:rRNA from 1 species
AAACAUGUCUCUUUGAUCACUUUGUAUAAAGAGUCAAACCUGCCCAGUGAUUAAUAUUUAACGGCCGCAGUACCCUGACUGUGCAAAGGUAGCAUAAUCAUUUGCCCUAUAAUUGAGGGCUUGUAUGAAUGGUUUAACAAGAACAUUUCUGUCUCUUAAAAAUUUUAUAUAAUUUAAUUUAUAAGUGAAGAAGCUUAUAUAUUACUAAAAGACGAGAAGACCCUUUUGAGCUUAAAAAAUAAAUUAGUUAUUAUAUAUUUUUUUUGGUUGGGGCGACCUAGGAACAUAAAAGCUUCCUUUAAUAAAUAGACUUUAGUUAUGAUCCGGCAUUGCUGAUUGAUAAAAUAAGCUACCAUAGGGAUAACAGCGUAAUUUCUUUUGAGAGCUCAUAUUAAAAAAGAAGUUUGCGACCUCGAUGUUGGACUAAAAUUUCCUUAAAGUGCAGAAAUUUUUAAAGGUUAGUCUGUUCGACUAUUAAAAUUUUA